GAUGAACGCUAGCUACAGGCUUAACACAUGCAAGUCGAGGGGCAGCGGGAUUGAAGCUUGCUUCAAUUGCCGGCGACCGGCGCACGGGUGAGUAACGCGUAUCCAACCUUCCGUACACUCAGGGAUAGCCUUUCGAAAGAAAGAUUAAUACCUGAUGGUAUGAUGAGAUUGCAUGAUAGCAUCAUUAAAGAUUUAUCGGUGUACGAUGGGGAUGCGUUCCAUUAGGUAGUAGGCGGGGUAACGGCCCACCUAGCCGACGAUGGAUAGGGGUUCUGAGAGGAAGGUCCCCCACAUUGGAACUGAGACACGGUCCAAACUCCUACGGGAGGCAGCAGUGAGGAAUAUUGGUCAAUGGACGAGAGUCUGAACCAGCCAAGUAGCGUGAAGGAUGAAGGUCCUACGGAUUGUAAACUUCUUUUAUAAGGGAAUAAAACCUCCACGUGUGGGAGCUUGUAUGUACCUUAUGAAUAAGCAUCGGCUAACUCCGUGCCAGCAG
rnacentral:rRNA from 1 species